CCUACGGGAGGCAGCAGUGGGGAAUAUUGCACAAUGGGGGAAACCCUGAUGCAGCGACGCCGCGUGAGUGAAGAAGUAUUUCGGUAUGUAAAGCUCUAUCAGCAGGGAAGAAACCCACCCUCCGGGGUGGCUGACGGUACCUGACUAAGAAGCCCCGGCUAACUACGUGCCAGCAGCCGCGGUAAUACGUAGGGGGCAAGCGUUAUCCGGAUUUACUGGGUGUAAAGGGAGCGUAGGUGGCAAGGCAAGUCAGAUGUGAAAACCCGGGGCCCAACCCCGGGAGUGCAUUUGAAACUGCGUGGCUAGAGUGCAGGAGGGGUAAGUGGAAUUCCUAGUGUAGCGGUGAAAUGCAUAGAUAUUAGGAGGAACACCAGUGGCGAAGGCGGCUUACUGGACUGUAACUGACAUUGAGGCUCGAAAGCGUGGGGAGCAAACAGGAUUAGAUACCCCGGUAGUC
rnacentral:rRNA from 1 species